rnacentral:rRNA from 1 species
UGGGGAAUUUUGCUCAAUGGGGGAAACCCUGAUGCAGCGACGCCGCGUGAUUUAGAAGGCCUUCGGGUUGUAAAAAUCUUUUCUAUGGGAAGAAAAUGACAGUACCAUAGGAAUAAGGACCGGCUAAUUACGUGCCAGCAGCCGCGGUAAUACGUAAGGUCCGAGCGUUGUCCGGAAUCAUUGGGCGUAAAGGGUACGUAGGCGGGUAAGCAAGUUAGAAGUGAAAUCCUAUAGCUCAACUAUAGUAAGCUUUUAAAACUGCUCAUCUUGAGGUAUGGAAGGGAAAGUGGAAUUCCUAGUGUAGCGGUGAAAUGCGCAGAUAUUAGGAGGAAUACCGGUGGCGAAGACGACUUUCUGGCCAUAACCUGACGCUGAGGUACGAAAGCGUGGGUAGCAAACAGG